UAAAGGCAACCAUUUAUUCAAUGAUAGAGGGAUGGAAAAACUUUAGAAAAUAUAUACAUACAGCUGAUCCAAUUUUACUAUUACAUUGGAUCUAUCAUUGAUCUUCUAAAGAGCUUCCCAUUCAGAACUUUCGAGCUAUUUGGCACCAUUUUAUUUGAGUUUGGUUAUAUGAUGAUUAUAAGUCAUUUUUUGGGUUCCUUUUACUUCAUUUCUUCGAGUAAAAAAUUAUCUUGUCAUUUAUCUUCAAUUGUUUGGGAUCUGAGAUUAUUUGCACUGGUUGUGUUGCUAUUACUCUACUGCGUAUUUGCUGAUCCUCCUUCCUCAUUUCCAUUUCCAUUUUCUCGGUGUAUUUUGGCCCUAUGGAUCUCAUAUGAAUGUAAUAUGAAGAUGCGACAUUGGAAUGCAAGUGAUUAAUGACUUAAAAUUUCCUUCCCUUUGUCUCAUUUUAGCUGAUAAAUUUUAUUUAGUGUAUAGAUGUG
rnacentral:lncRNA from 1 species